rnacentral:lncRNA from 10 species
UAGAUUUUUCAUUUUUAUUUUAAACAUUUUACAUUAAAUGAAAUUUAACCAUAAUAAUUACAGAACAUUACCACAAUGAUACACACAAAUAACCUUUAAAAUAAAAAAGAAUACAAUUCUUAACUAGUUAAAUGACACUUUAGUGUGUAAACAUAAAUAAAAUAAAACCCUGAUGCUAAAAAGGUACAUGUUCAGAGGUAAAAUACAUAUACAAAAACAUUUAAACUAACAUAAUCCACAACUAGAUCACAUUCUUUGCAAGAGAGUACAAAUAUUAGUACUCUACAGCUACAAAAUUUCAGAAUCCUGUUAAAAUCAAAACCGUUGCUGGUUUAUAAUACACAGCACAAUUCAUAAGGCAAAAAUAUAGGCAUUAUCAUCCAGUUCUUUAACUUCACUUGUAUUUUAAGGCAAACUUGGAACUUUUUGCUUAGUAUUUAAAAAUAAAUGGGACUUACACAUAACUUGACAAAAUUAACAAUAAGUUAUCUCUAGUAAAGAUGUAUAAUAUAAAAGACAUAUGGAUAACAAUUUUUCUCUCUGCAGAGAUGUAAACUGGAUUUUUAUUUGACUCCAUAUUCACACCAGUAGGAAAAUUUGUAAACCUAUUGUAUUAAAAAUGUAUUGUAUUCCUCACUCUUUUCAAAUGUGUAUCAACACCAAAUCAAUGUACUGUAAGUGAAAAUCCAGUACAUAUCCAGCCAUGGAAUAAUUGUUAUCUAAUUAAAUCAUGUCUAAUUAAAGUGCUGUUUACAAAGGGAAAAAAGGUUAAGAAGUAGAACUGGAUGUUAACUUGACAUGUGACAUCUUAUAAUUCCUUAACUUUUAGACUACAGAGGUUAUGAGGUUAUCACAAGUUUACUGAACUUUAAGCAGUAAGUGUUUAUUGUAGAAUCUGAUUUUCCUGAAAAUGAGCACUUAGGUGACAAUACCAGGAAUCCAACACCAAAACUGAAAAUAAACACAACAUGUACAUAUAUUUCUCUCAAUGUCAGCCAGAGUCUUGAUACUACAGGAAAUAUAUAUAUUUAAAAUUUCUAUAGUUUUCUUACUAGAAAAUACAGAAUAUCUCAUACAUAUAGCAAACCCUCCAUAUGUGUUAAAUUAUCAAAAUAAAAUUUCAAAACCUAAUGCCAUUUUCCUAUCACUUGAUACCACUUCCUAUAAUUUAAUAUUCACUCACAUUUAAAACAAUAACAGCAAUAACACAAUUUAUAAAUAUCCUUGGAGCUACAUUAAAAGCCACUUACAUUCUAUUACAACAUCCAAUGAUUAUUGAAUAGCCAAAGGUGCCUAACAGAUUAAGUUGUUAUAAUUAUAGAAGGCAAGUAUCUUGCAACUGAUUACAUUAAUUUCUAUUUCCCAGUGCUGCUCUUUUCCAAAAUAUUUCUGGGAAAUCUUAAAUAGCUUUUCUCUUCUUGCCUGAAUAUGUAAAAUUAUUUCUAAUACUUUUAAUCCUGAGGAUUUAUAACCAAACAUUUUGAUCCUUUUUAACAUAGAAACAUGUGGCUUUAAAUUCACAAUUUGUCAGCAGAGUGUUCAUAAUGAAACUUCUCACAAAUUUGUAAAAGAAGGCGCUAAUGUAAACAUAUUAGUUGUCAGGUCAGAUUAGUAGCUCUGGUUGUUACGAAUAAUACAGUAGGUUAAGCAAUCCUAAAAUAAAUAUACUUCUAAAUUUUGAACAUUUUUCCUCUUCCUUUCACAGAUUUUCAUAAUUUGUUCACUGGUGUAUGGCUCCUACUACUACUGCCCAAGAUAUUUCACAUUUAGUCUUCAUCAAGAUGAAAUUUAGAUUUUUCAAAAACAAUGACCAGUAUAUGUUUUUGAUCUAAUUUACCAAAUGAUUAUACACUAAUUUGAUAGUGGAGAUGAUACAUGAGUAAAAUAUUGUUAAAAUACAAUGUAUAGAAU